ACAAAGAAAGCUGAGUGAAGGGAGAGUAACAUCUUAGGCAUAAGUUCCUUAUCUUUUGCAGGGUAGAACCUCAACCGUGUCUUGCACUAAGCUACUCAAUUUCUUCUCCUUCACUCUGCUGAGUGCUGCUGUCUCCCUCAAAGAACUCAUGGCCGCCACACUCACUCUUCUAAAGCUUCCAAUUCUUCCUAACAAGCCAUUACUGCCACGCCCAUCAACCUCAAAACUUGUUCCAUUUCCUUCCAUCUAUUCAAAGUUAAAUAUCCCAAAAGAUUCUAACCCACAAAAUUUACCCUUCUUAGAUCAAAACAUCGAUGCUCUCAAGCCUGUCUUUCUUUCCCUCUCAGCAAUCUCUUUUCCAUUGUUAUUAGAAACCAAGGAUGCUCUUGCUGUUGGAGGAGAGUUUGGGAUAUUGGAAGGAAGAUCAUUUGCUCUCAUACACCCCAUUGUGAUGGGUUCUUUUUUCUUGUAUACCUUGUGGGCAGGGUAUUUGGGGUGGCAAUGGCGGCGAGUUAGGACAAUCCAGAAUGAUAUUAAUGAACUCAAGAAACAAGUCAAACCUAACCCAGUCACCCCAGAUGGCAAACCAGUGGAAGAAGCAGCACCAUCACCAGUUGAACUCCAAAUACAGCAACUCACUGAGGAAAGAAAAGAGCUGAUAAAAGGUUCCUAUAAGGAUAGACACUUCAAUGCAGGAUCCAUACUUCUAGGAUUUGGGGUGCUUGAGUCAGUUGGUGGAGGAGUGAACACAUGGUUUAGGACAGGAAAGCUUUUUCCCGGUCCACAUUUAUUUGCGGGAGCAGCUAUUACUGCUUUAUGGGCACUGGCAGCAGCCCUGGUACCAUCAAUGCAAAAAGGAAAUGAAACAGCCAGAAAUCUUCACAUCGCGCUGAAUGCAGUAAACGUUCUGCUCUUUGUGUGGCAGAUUCCCACUGGAAUUGACAUUGUGUUCAAGGUGUUUGAGUUCACAACAUGGCCUUGAAUGUAAGAUUCUAAAUUAAAAAAGAGAAGAACAAGAACACGCACAAACUUAGAAGACUAACGGAAAAAAAGAUCACCGAAUAUAACCAAAUACAAAGCAAGUGCAAAGUUUGAUGGAGCAUUUUAAGUAUGGAUUUUUAAGAGAAUGGAACUGAUGUGGUAAGGAAUACAGUUUAAGUCUCUUGUUGAUCAGUAAAUAAGCUACUGCUUCAAAUAUUGUUCUCUUUUACCAUUGCAGAGGAUCUGUACUAAUCAAACGCACCCUAGGUGUGUAUUACAUAUAGAAUAUUAAAUAUAUAAAUUAGAAGUACUAAA